UGAAAAACGAUUCCCGUAAAAUUGAAGUCACUGCAGCGUAACCGUGCAGGAAGCUAUUUUGUUGUCAUGUGACAAGAAACCAAUAAAACAGAGAAGACACCUUCAGACCCUCGUGACUUUAAGAAAAUAUUUGACCUAAACUGGACAAGUGGCAAAAGAAAAAUAGCUUAACUUUUACACGUUUACAACAGUUUACAUUUUAAGAGCUUUUUUUCUUUUCUUUUUUAAAGCAAAUGGUCAAACGUUUUUUCCAAAAAGUGUUCGACAUGGAUAUAAAAACAAAUUUUCUAAAAAAGCUUGCACUUGUCAUCGACCCUUAGUAUACGUUAGGAAUAAUACUAAAACGGCAUCAGUGGAAAUCAAGAACAGUAGCUAAGAAAUAAACCUUGUGCAUAAUUAAAAUAGACUAACUAUAUGUAGCCUAUCAAUCCAUUUUUUGUCUGACUAUUUUCUCCUUUCAACAUAGAAAAAAAGUAAAAGGAAAAGAAAAAGAAACGAAGUAGUACAAUAUCAGUAAAUGUGCUAAACCUGCUGAUUUGACAGUGUCCAACAUAAACAGCGACAGGGAAGCGAAGGCCAGAGAGCUGAAGAGAAGUCGUGAUUUCCGUGAGGAGGGGGGCUCGCGAGGGGCGCUGAGACCGCGGACGAGGGGAACUGAUGUCAAGGUCUUUUUUCCUCCUUAUCGAGCGACUGCUGAAAAACUUUCUGCACUCCUCGAGUGAAAGAAAAAACCCGAAGAGAAGAGAAGAGAAGAGAAGAGAAGAGAAGAGAAGAGAAGAGAAGAGAAGAGAAGAGAAGAGGAAUCGAUCGCCUCGCACGCGUUCCAGAGCUCGCGUUUCACCGGAGGAGCAAAGUGCUUCUGUUAUUUGGAGCCUCCCUAUUGGACAGAGGAUGUCCUGUUUUCACUGGAUCAUCGAGAGCUCACUUCCUGUAUAACCAUUAAGACACGUCAAGACGAGAGACCAGUGCUUGCGACCAUUUCCCAUUGUUGUUGUUGCUUCUGUACUCUGUUCCUGGUUUCUGUAUUAGUGUGUUUUCUGCCUUGAAUGUGAAGCAUGUGAACUAUAAUCUUGCUAUACACAUUGUAUUUUGUACAUAAUGCAUUUUCCCACAAAUCACUAGGUAGGGAUUACAACAGCAUUUCUUCUUUUACUUAUAUUUCUUUUAAUCAAAUAUUUACAGGUGCUGCAUAUAAAUCACACCAUUCUCAUCCAUUUAAAGGAAAUUAUAUAAAAGACAGGAAAUAAUGAGCAGAAAGAUUGCAUAACAGGAACAGGAAAGUGUGCAAGCCAGAUUCAAACUCUUAUCUCCUACAUGAUCACCAUACUUUAAAAGUGUUUAAUUUGGUAAAAAAUCUGCUCAAUUAAAAGGAUUUAUUCAAGACCAAAAUAUUAUUAAAGAAUCAACGGAAGUAAUUUUUAACAAUCAAGUCAUGUAGAAAUAACGCUUGUGGUCAUAAUUGGAAUUAGUUUACUAUACUGUAACUACUGUAUAUUGAAAAAAGAUUAUAUUACACAUGAAUCCUCACCACAUAAUAUUGCACAGUAUAAAAAUUAUAAAUAUUCAUUUUGAAAAAUAAAAUAAAAUAAAAUAAAAUAAAAUAGCA
ensembl:lncRNA